UACGUAGGGUGCGAGCGUUGUCCGGAAUUAUUGGGCGUAAAGAGCUCGUAGGCGGUGUGUCACGUCGGCCGUGAAAACCUGCAGCUUAACUGUGGGCGUGCGGUCGAUACGGGCAGACUAGAGUUCGGCAGGGGAGACUGGAAUUCCUGGUGUAGCGGUGAAAUGCGCAGAUAUCAGGAGGAACACCGGUGGCGAAGGCGGGUCUCUGGGCCGAUACUGACGCUGAGGAGCGAAAGCGUGGGGAGCGAACAGG
rnacentral:rRNA from 1 species